GCCCUGUGAUCCCCAGCCUGAAACUGGCAGUCAGAUUUCACAGGCUUCAGACCACAGAGGAGCACUAGGACCCCACCAGAGGUGGUCCUGAGGCUGAGCUGAAGGCCCUGGGGAUGGGCUAUGCAAGCUGAUUGCUCACUGCGAGUAGCAAGAGGUCAGUGCCCAAAAAGGUAAAGAAAACCUCAUGCAGUAUGCUUGCUUCUCCUCAUGGGCAGCCCAUUUGGAUACCCUGGAAAUUGAACCUAAUUUAAAAGGACAUGGCUCUUCUCAGAGACUACGUUCAUGUUCAUUUCUACAUGGCACUGCUCUGUUUGAAAUUCUGUGAUUUGAUGUACACUGACUUGAGCAUCCCCUGUUAAAUUUUCCCAUCUUCUGUGCCAUAGUUCUAUGUUGUUUCGGGUGUGCAGAAAUCCAUUCUUCAUGCGCUAAUAUACAGACCACAAAUUUGGCAGAAACAAUAAUGGUGACCAAACAGCAACACCGUUGUGUGAGUGUCUUCUCAUUCUACCAGGCACAUAAUUAUUUUUGAACCAGUCAGUAACUUUGCUGGCUUCUUCAGGCAAAUGUGGCUUUAAUUUAUUAAAAGCUCCUCAAAUACCAUCAGCUGGAUGGAAUACUAAUGUGAGCAAAUCAGGCAAUUUUAAACUAAAGUUUUUGUUGUUGCCAUAUUGUGUGGCCAACUCAAUCAUCUGAAUUUUAUGCCAAAUGCAUUGGGCUGAGUGGAAAAAACAAAACUUUGUUGGUAACACCUUCAAAUUUGCUUUUAGAAGCCUUGAUUGUACCUAAUUCCAAAUAUAUUAUUGUGGUUUGGGGAUUCAAAUGAAAUCCAUUUUCUUCUGCAUAAAGACAACAACAAGGUAAUACUUCCAUCUAACAUGAUGCAAUUUUCCUGUAAUUGUGAUUUUCAGGAUUUUAGACAUUAGGGAUUUAGACUUUAGGGAUUUUGAUUUUUUGGGAUUUUGACAUUUGGAAUUAUGGCAUUCCAGAUUGUGUGUUUUGGGAUUAUAAUCCAAAUUCAAUGAGUCUCUACUACUUAAUUUAACAUAACUUUAAGAUUUCAAAUCACAUAAAUAGGUCAUUUAUGAAAUGUAUCCCAUUUACAUUUACCAAAUGUAUUUAUUUCUAACAAUUGUGUCUAGAUUAAUCAUGAAAACUAGGUUAGACAAAGCUAGUCAUCAUCUUGUUAUUUUUCUGCUAGCCAUUUUAUAACCUGUGAAUAUCAUGUGCUCACCUAAGUAAUAACCUUAAAGUUAAAUAUAUGGUAUUUUGCCAAUAACUCAGAAGUUACAGCUGGUUUUAUUAAACCAAUAAUAUUAGUCUUACAUAUCAAAGAAUUGACAAAGAUCAUUUUGUUUUAAGCUCAGUUUACAGUUUUAUAAUCUUUAUGUCAAACUCUAACACCUUAAAACUUUUUGGUAGAGAUGACUAUAAAGCUGUCUGACCAGUAAACACAGGCAAAAAUGUAUGCUGAAAAAUUUUAAGGCAUUUCUAUUUUUUAUUUUAACCAACAUUUUAAAAACCAGCUUACUUAUCAAAGAUUUGCUUAAGUCAUAUAAACUAAAAGGUAUUUGGGUUAAUUGCUACAUAUUUUAUAUGAGUGCUCAUUUAUUAAAGUCAAUCUGAAUAUAAUUCCUUAAGGGAUUUCUGGAUGAGUAUGCCAGAUUAUAACAUGUAAAUAUAGCAUAUAACAUAAUAUAUGCACAUAUGGGUAGAUACACCUAGACAUAUAUACAUACACACAGAGAUCUUAUAGCUUUCACUUUAGAAUUUUAGGCAUGAGACACAAAACUUAGAGAUUCACCAGUUUUGACAGUUGGGUCAAAAUUAUAUUUUUGGCAAGAUGGGAUCUGUUCAUGUGGCUAAACUUUAUUUGCCCUCAUAGGUAAUCUAAUAAGGAUGCAGACCAAAACUGUGGGUGAAGUAAUGUGGUUAAAAAAAAAAAAAAACCUCUUUCUUUUUUUCUAUUUUUUAAGGUUUCAAAUGAGUUUAGGUUUAAAUUUUCAAUAUUUACAUUUUAGCUAGGACUGGCUGAAUUUUAUAAGAAAAAAAACCCCAAAUCUCCAAAUAGUCUUUUUAGCAACAAACCUAUAUUUUGUUUUCUGGUUUGGUUUGCUUGACAGUUGAUGCAGGUGGAGAAACAUUUUAGCAGGUUUUCUUUGCUUCUUUUCUUUUUGGCCUCUGCAUAGCAGACAAUGCAAAAUUUAUGCCCGACAAAGACACCUUAUAUUAUUGCACUGAGCUCAAGAUUUUGACCUGUUUGAUCUGAGAGUAUAACUUUCAAAAACAUUUGUCUAGUUCUUCCCUUUCAGACUAUCAAUCCUUGGAUGAACUGUUCCAUCACCAUAAACAACUGCUAGUCAAGCAAACCUAAAUAUGCAUUUCCAAAAGGUGUCUAGGCUGUUGGUUACCACGGAGCUAUUUUAAUUAGUAAAGCCAUUAAACAGAAAGUCCUGUGAGACUCUUUUAAAACCUUGGCUGAAAUGCCACAAGCAAUGAGUUUUAUCUCAACAUCAGUAGAAAAGUUGACAAAUUAAAAGUCGGCAGAAAAGAAACAGAGAUAGGGAGGUUAGAAGGCUCUACAUGUUAACUCUAUAGUUGCAAGGUUUUUUAAAAAACAGCUUGAGUAAUGAUAAUUUGGGCUCUGAAUUUUUCUUGAUGUAAUUUGCCCAUCAAUGUUUAAAUUGCACAUGAGAAUAGGCCAUAAUAUGUGGACAGUGGGAGUCCCAGAAAACUUGGCAUGCUUUAAUGUUUGAAAAUUCUGUUUCUUAUUAAUUUCUCAAAAACAAAGAAAAUGCUAUAAAUUCUUUC